ensembl:snRNA U6 U6 spliceosomal RNA
GUUGCAGUCUUCACACAUUUACAGAAAUUGGAAUGAUACAGUGAUUAGCAUGGCACCUGAGCAAAGAAGAGACAUAAAUUCCUAAGGCAUCCCACAUUUUU